CAAUGAAGGCUUAUUUAAUUAGCUUUGCUUGGCAGCUUAGAUCAAGUGGUUGUAGAUUAGUUUUGUUCCCUUCUUUCUGGAAUAUGGUUGGUUUUUUAUUUCAAUUGGGAGCUGCUACAUUGAGGCAUAAAUACCUGCAAUCUGGUUUCUGCCUGUUGUUGCAAUAUGGCUUUUGUCUGAUGCAAUUUUUAUCUGUUUUAUCUAUGGUUCUUUCACUUAUUUGGCUGCACGGGUGUGGUGAUCUGAAGUGGAAUAUAGGGCAUUUUGUCCAAUGUUUUGGUGCAGUUUUUUCUGAAAAAUCUUUGCUGCUAUGCAGCUUGGGAUCUGCUGCAUUCAUUGGCUUUUCUCUUUGUAUUCAUUUCAGUUCCUAGAGGCUAGUAGUUUAUGCCAUAAAGCUUGGCGCCUGUUGUGGAAAAGUACUUAGCUUGAGUUGAAAAAACAGUAGAACCUGAGUUGUUUUGGAAAGAGCAAGAACCCUCGUCUGCCGCAUCUUUGCUGGUCUCUUUCUCUAAUGUUUUGCUCAUGCUGGCUUGCACGCCUCUACUGAUAUGUUGACUAUUUUUUGCACUUGUCUUUACUAGUUAGUUUCUGUACUAGUUAGAUUUGUUCUAGAUCUUCUAGUCUAUUCUGUUUUUUUGCAAUUUUGCUAUGUAUUUUCCUUUGAUGUUUAACUCACUUGAGAGAAUGUGUUCUCAAUA